AUUUAUUUCUCACUAAUUUCAUAGUCUUCAACGAGAAGUAAUCUUAUUUAUCCCUCACUUCAUAAUCCAUUUAAAAUAAUCGCGUUAUAGAGAAACUGCAAAUCGAGUUGAUAGCCACAGAGUAUAUACGGUUGAAUGCAGAGGUAUCAAAGCAUUGCAACCAAGAUGCGGCCGCCAUAUUGCCGGCCCACUGACUCGACACUAAGUAAACAGGCGCUGCUGUUCACAACCACACUCCUAUCUUCUAUUUUUAUUCAAUUAUUUAACAAAGGAAAUAUUUUAUUUAUUUAAUCUACAAAGAGAAUAAAUGUAGGCCUUAAAACGAAUUACCUUUGCCCAGAGAUAAUAAAAUCAAAUUUGACGGACGCCAUGAUUGAAUUUCGAAUUAGGUAUUCGAAAUUCAAUUUUUAUUGAAAGUAUUUUAAAGUGAGCUUUAUUUACUUUUGAAUGUCACAAUAAGUAACAAUUUCAAACUGAUUUAUUCCUGAAUUUGGCUUGUUCAAGAAAAAGCACGUUUGAAUAGAAUCAGCUCUAAUUUUCGUCAUCUUUGUGAACAUCACAUCAACAGCCUAUAUGUGGCCACUGCUGACCAAAGGCCUCUUGUCACACGGAGAAGGUUUAAGCAUUAAUCAUCACGCUUGCUCAAUGCGGGUUGGCGAUUUCAAACUUAGAAUAGGCAAUUAUAAACCUAGGUUUCCUCACAAUCUUUUCCUUCACCUUUUGUUAGUGGUAUCUAUAUAGGGUAAAACCGGGAUAGAUGCCGCGCUAGGAUAGAUGCCUCGUUUCUAAAAACUCAACUACGGGAGAACGAAACAGCAAAUUCGUUGUUUAAAUACGCGCCACAUGCACCCCCCACCUAAGUGACGCGCGAGUUGUUGUGCUAGACUGACAUUUCUCGCUUGUGUGUCGCAGUACAUUCUCAGCGGACGCGACGAACGCUUCAAAAUUUCAAACACCUGAACGUAACACCACCCAAUAUGCCUCAACUUCAUUCAACCGAAACUCACCAAGCCUUUUGAUCGAUCCUCAGAUUUUAGAAGAUAGACUUAUUGAUAUUGUUGAUAUAGUUAAUAUAGAUAUAUCUGACUUUAGCAAGAAGAGCUAAACAAUCGGCAGAUAUUCUCAAUUCUAGAGAAAAAAUAAAAGAAAAAAGGGAUAUAGCUGAAAGGAAAAAGAAACAAAUAGAAUCUAAGAUAAACAAGACUGAAGCUACCAAAAAAAGACGAACAAUGAAAAAAUCAAAUAAAAAAGCCAAAGAACAAAUACAAAAAAAUAAAAAUAAGAAAGGAAACCCAAAGAAAAACUAUGACUCAAGUGAAGAAACAGAUGGUGACGCGACUGAUUGCAGUCAUAAAGAAAAUGAUUAUUAUUUAAAAGUAAACAAGGAUCGUGGAUCACGUAAAAGACUAGCUAUUUAUAGCUCAAACAGUGAGAAUGAAGAUCACCUCUCACCUAAUGCUGAAAAAGGUAAAAAAACCAAAGGACUACCCGUGAAAAAAACCACAACUAAAAAACUAAAAAAAUUAGACGAGACUAAUGCUAUCGAUGAAAAUGUUUGCGUAGAAUGCUUUGAUACCUAUAAUAAUACGAAGUCCAAAUCUGAUUAGAUUUUAUUUUGUAAGAGAUGAAUAUUGUUUUUUUUUAUGUUAAAUAAUUAUUUCUACGCUGAAACGGGAAUGUUUCGUUUGAGAUGAUAAUUUUAAUAUGUUAUAGCUUAAACAGAUUUUUUUUUAUUUUUUGUUGAAGACAUGCAUAAAUAUAAUUAUGGUUAAGCAUUUUAUAUGAAGAUAAUAAAUAAAUAUUACAUUGUGAUUA